rnacentral:rRNA from 1 species
AUUGAACGCUGGCGGCAGGCUUAACACAUGCAAGUCGAGCGGGGGAGGUUGCUUCGGUAACUGACCUAGCGGCGGACGGGUGAGUAAUGCUUAGGAAUCUGCCUAUUAGUGGGGGACAACAUUCCGAAAGGGAUGCUAAUACCGCAUACGCCCUACGGGGGAAAGCAGGGGAUCUUCGGACCUCGCGCUAAUAGAUGAGCCUAAGUCGGAUUAGCUAGUUGGUGGGGUAAAGGCCUACCAAGGCGACGAUCUGUAGCGGGUCUGAGAGGAUGAUCCGCCACACUGGGACUGAGACACGGCCCAGACUCCUACGGGAGGCAGCAGUGGGGAAUAUUGGACAAUGGGCGGAAGCCUGAUCCAGCCAUGCCGCGUGUGUGAAGAAGGCCUUUUGGUUGUAAAGCACUUUAAGCGAGGAGGAGGCUCUUAAGGUUAAUACCCCUGAUGAGUGGACGUUACUCGCAGAAUAAGCACCGGCUAACUCUGUGCCAGCCGCCGCAGUAACAC